rnacentral:rRNA from 1 species
UACGUAGGGUGCAAGCGUUGUCCGGAAUUAUUGGGCGUAAAGAGCUCGUAGGCGGUCUGUCGCGUCAGAUGUGAAAACUCAGGGCUCAACCCGGAGACGCCAUCUGAUACUGCGGUGACUGGAGUCUGGUAGGGGAACACGGAAUUCCUGGUGUAGCGGUGAAAUGCGCAGAUAUCAGGAGGAACACCGAUGGCGAAGGCAGUGUUCUGGGCCAGUACUGACGCUGAGGAGCGAAAGCGUGGGGAGCAAACAGG